UCUCCGGUAACCGGGACUCACAGCUGCUCCGGGGCUGAGAGGAGGAGGAGGAGAGCCGGUGAGGAGGGGUCUCUCCUCAGAUCAUGACAUUAGCACAGAUCACCCCUGCACCUGACAGAAACCCUCACCGUGAGCGAACCGAGGAUCUUACCGGGGUUACAGACCGCUGCGAUUCAAGCGGACAAAUCCACAGAAAGCGCGUCUCGUGCGCGUGAAGAAAGUGAAAGUGAGCAUGUCGUCUCCCACAGAGAUCUGCAGGCAAAUGGUCAGGUGGAGAGGCUCAACGAAGAGUGGACGGAUUCUUCAGUCUUACUGUAGUAGAGAACACCAUCGAUGGAGCUCUUCCAUGGACUAAGGAACUCUAUGAGAUCCCUGCAGUGGACGACUGGAUCAAGAGGAAUGAAAGGUGUGUGGGACAGUACUCAACUCAGGUUGCAAUGAGCUGUUAGGAAACAAAAGAUUCAAGGAGAUCAAAAGGAGAAGGCCACACCCUCACUACCUGCAAGGCGAGAUGGUCUAGGUUUCCACUCAAGAUCAGUAGCUACCUACCAAGGUAGGACCUUACACUGUAGGACCUUACAAGACAAGU